rnacentral:rRNA from 1 species
UCAGGCCAGCAUCGGUUUAGGUGGUGGGAUAAAGGCCUUGGGAAUGUAGCUUCUUUCGGGGAGUGUUAUAGCCCUCGGUGCAAUGCCGCCUACCUGGACCGAGGACCGCGCUUCGGCUAGGAUGCUGGCGUAAUGGUUGUAAGCGA